rnacentral:rRNA from 1 species
ACUCCUACGGGAGGCAGCAGUGGGGAAUAUUGCACAAUGGGGGAAACCCUGAUGCAGCCAUGCCGCGUGUGUGAAGAAGGCCUUCGGGUUGUAAAGCACUUUCAGUAGGGAGGAAGGUAGUGUAGUUAACACCUGCAUCAUUAAUUGACUGUACCCUACAGAAAGAAAGCACCGGCUAACUCCGUGCCAGCAGCCGCGGUAAUACGGAGGGUGCGAGCGUUAAUCGGAAAUUACUGGGCGUAAAAGCGCAUGCAGGCGGCCUGUUAAGUCAGAUGUGAAAAGCCGGCUA